rnacentral:rRNA from 1 species
CCUACGGGUGGCAGCAGUAGGGAAUUUUCGGCAAUGGGGGGAACCCUGACCGAGCAACGCCGCGUGAACGAAGAAGUUAUUCGUAAUGUAAAGUUCUUUUAACAGGGAAGAAAGAGCAAUUUGACGGUACCUGACGAAUAAGCUCCGGCUAACUACGUGCCAGCAGCCGCGUUAAUACGUAGGGGGCGGGCGUUAUCUGGAAUUAUUGGGCGAAAAGGGUGGGUAGAUGGCAUAGUACGUCUUUGGUAAAAAUGCUGGGCUAAACCCAGUAGGGCAAAAGAUACUGCAAAGCUAGAGUAUGAAAGAGGCAAGUGGAACUACAUGUGUAGCGGUAAAAUGCGUAAAUAUAUGUAAGAACACCAGUGGCGAAGGCGGCUUGCUGGGUCGAUACUGACAUUGAGGCACGAAAGCGUGGGGAGCAAACAGGAUUAGAUACCCUAGUAGUC